UGAGGAACAUGACCUUCGGCGGGGGAUAGCCGGCCCAACGGCCGGGUAAUACCGCGUACGACCACAUGGGGACAUCCCUGAGUGGUGAAAGCAGCAAUGCGCCGAUGGAGUGCCUCGCGGCCUAUCAGCUAGUUGGUGAGGUAACGGCUCACCAAGGCAACGACGGGUAGCUGGUCUGAGAGGAUGGCCAGCCACAUUGGGACUGAGACACGGCCCAGACCUNUACCGGGAG
rnacentral:rRNA from 1 species